UACGUAGGGGGCGAGCGUUGUCCGGAUUCAUUGGGCGUAAAGCGCUUUAAGGCGGUUCGGUAAGUCGGGUGUGAAACCUCCAGGCUCAACCUGGAGACGCCACUCGAUACUGCUGUGACUAGAGUUCGGUAGGGGAUCACGGAAUUCCUGGUGUAGCGGUGAAAUGCGCAGAUAUCAGGAGGAACACCGGUGGCGAAAGCGGCUUCCUGGUCCAGCACCGACGUUCAGGCACGAAAGCGUGGGGAGCAAACAGG
rnacentral:rRNA from 1 species